rfam:Schistosoma mattheei strain Denwood, Zambia genome assembly, scaffold: SMTD_scaffold0004218
AGCCUUCUCUAUCCGUGCUGAGAUUUCGUCUAACACCAGACCAAAAUGGACGAUGAGACUCCUAAGAUAAGUAAGGCG